rnacentral:RNase_P_RNA from 1 species
CGACCAGGGCAGGCAAUCGCUGCCAGCUCGCAACAUUCCUCUGGGGUGACGCAGGCUGGGAGAGGAAAGUCCGAGCUUCACAGGGCAGGAUGCCGGGUAAUUCCCGGUGGGGGCGACCCCGAGGAAAGUGCAACAGAAAAGACACCGCCUCAUCGCUUUGGAGCGAGCUCGCUCGUCCCGGAGCCAGGGGGUAAGGGUGAAAUGGUGGAGUAAGAGCCCACCGCGUCCUCGGUAACGGGGACGGCAAGGCAAACCCCAUCUGAAGCAAGGCCACAUAGGGAGGCAAGGUCGCCUGUCCCACCUGGGACAGACGGUGAAAGAGCGGCCCGCUCAACGCCUCCGGGUAGACCGCUCGAGGGCCGUGGCAACACGGCCCCUAGAGGAAUGAUUGUCACCAUUGCCUGGGCGACCGGGCAGUGGAACAGAACUCGGCUUACAACCGAUCGGACC